rnacentral:lncRNA from 1 species
UUGAUGACGUCACAACGGAGCAAAGUUCAGUGUUACUCGCAACUGAUAAUUGAUAAUAAUAAUUAUAGAUAUAUAAGCCGAAGGAGAAUAAAUAAGUUGCGAACUGCGUGCAAAUACAUUUAAUCCAUACUAUAGUGAUUCGGAUGGAUCUUUUUUCCUAGGAAUUCAUAUUCCAUUUUGAUAUCCAAGGCAAUAAUAAGUCUUCUGAUCCUCUCUUUAACUUCAAAAGGAUCUCGCCUCUUAGUCUUUGUGCCUCACUCGGUGGAUAUGAUCUCCUUUAAUGGGCAUCAAGAUCUAUGAUAGUGACUUCUGACCUCGUGAAUCAUUGCCUCUAUGCUCAAGAAUACAUAAAUUCAUCCAGAUCAUCGUAUACUUCUACAUAUAAGAACUAUGGAGUUCCAUAAAACGACAGAAUAAUUGACGGAAAGAUCCAGUGAGGAACAGGGAUAGUUUUCAUCCUCCAUCCAAUGCUCCUUAUUUAUGUUCUUGAGUCCUUUUCUCCUUAAGUAAACUCUGCUUCGUCUCAUAGUCUAAGAAAAGUGUCCUUGAUGCAUAUGACGUAGAAAUAUAUGGUCUAUAUGAAUUAUAUAUAUAACCUGGACACUUUAAGCCUUACCCUGAUAAGUGGUUUAUUUAUUACUUGUGAGUACCUUUUGUGAUUGGGAAACAAGUGGAAGAUUAUCCAAGACUUUAAAAAUAAUUCUCUCUUUUGUCGAGAGUUUAUUCUAUUCUGCUAUUGCAUAUAAAUUGUUAUUGCGAACUAUUAAGUGAUUAUUUGUUAAAAAAUAUAAGUGACUUCUUAA